rnacentral:rRNA from 1 species
AGCGAACGCUGGCGGCAGGCCUAACACAUGCAAGUCGAACGGAUCCUUCGGGAUUAGUGGCCGACGGGUGAGUAACACGUGGGAACGUGCCCUUUGGUUCGGCACAACUCAGGGAAAGUUGAGCUAAUACCGGAUGUGCCCUUCGGGGGAAAGAUUUAUCGCCAUUGGAGGGGCCCGCGUCUGAUUCGCUAGUUGGUGAGGUAACGGCCCACCAAGGCGACGAUUAGUAAAUGGUCUGAGAGGAUGGGCAGCCACACUGGGACUGAGACGCGGCCCAGACUCCUACGGGAGGCGGCAGUGGGGGAUCUUGCGAAACGGGCGGAGGCAUGACGCAGCCAGGCCGGGAGAACGAUGAAGGUCUUGGGAUAGUAAAAUGCUUUCAGCGGGGACGAUAAUGACGGUACCCGCAGAAGAAGCACCGGCUAACUACGUG